UUUUAUGGAGAGUUUGAUCCUGGCUCAGGAUGAACGCUGGCGGCGUGCCUAAUACAUGCAAGUCGAGCGAACGGACGAGAAGCUUGCUUCUCUGAUGUUAGCGGCGGACGGGUGAGUAACACGUGGAUAACCUACCUAUAAGACUGGGAUAACUUCGGGAAACCGGAGCUAAUACCGGAUAAUAUUUUGAACCGCAUGGUUCAAAAGUGAAAGACGGUCUUGCUGUCACUUAUAGAUGGAUCCGCGCUGCAUUAGCUAGUUGGUAAGGUAACGGCUUACCAAGGCAACGAUGCAUAGCCGACCUGAGAGGGUGAUCGGCCACACUGGAACUGAGACACGGUCCAGACUCCUACGGGAGGCAGCAGUAGGGAAUCUUCCGCAAUGGGCGAAAGCCUGACGGAGCAACGCCGCGUGAGUGAUGAAGGUCUUCGGAUCGUAAAACUCUGUUAUUAGGGAAGAACAUAUGUGUAAGUAACUGUGCACAUCUUGACGGUACCUAAUCAGAAAGCCACGGCUAACUACGUGCCAGCAGCCGCGGUAAUACGUAGGUGGCAAGCGUUAUCCGGAAUUAUUGGGCGUAAAGCGCGCGUAGGCGGUUUUUUAAGUCUGAUGUGAAAGCCCACGGCUCAACCGUGGAGGGUCAUUGGAAACUGGAAAACUUGAGUGCAGAAGAGGAAAGUGGAAUUCCAUGUGUAGCGGUGAAAUGCGCAGAGAUAUGGAGGAACACCAGUGGCGAAGGCGACUUUCUGGUCUGUAACUGACGCUGAUGUGCGAAAGCGUGGGGAUCAAACAGGAUUAGAUACCCUGGUAGUCCACGCCGUAAACGAUGAGUGCUAAGUGUUAGGGGGUUUCCGCCCCUUAGUGCUGCAGCUAACGCAUUAAGCACUCCGCCUGGGGAGUACGACCGCAAGGUUGAAACUCAAAGGAAUUGACGGGGACCCGCACAAGCGGUGGAGCAUGUGGUUUAAUUCGAAGCAACGCGAAGAACCUUACCAAAUCUUGACAUCCUUUGACAACUCUAGAGAUAGAGGCUUCCCCUUCGGGGGACAAAGUGACAGGUGGUGCAUGGUUGUCGUCAGCUCGUGUCGUGAGAUGUUGGGUUAAGUCCCGCAACGAGCGCAACCCUUAAGCUUAGUUGCCAUCAUUAAGUUGGGCACUCUAAGUUGACUGCCGGUGACAAACCGGAGGAAGGUGGGGAUGACGUCAAAUCAUCAUGCCCCUUAUGAUUUGGGCUACACACGUGCUACAAUGGACAAUACAAAGGGCAGCGAAACCGCGAGGUCAAGCAAAUCCCAUAAAGUUGUUCUCAGUUCGGAUUGUAGUCUGCAACUCGACUACAUGAAGCUGGAAUCGCUAGUAAUCGUAGAUCAGCAUGCUACGGUGAAUACGUUCCCGGGUCUUGUACACACCGCCCGUCACACCACGAGAGUUUGUAACACCCGAAGCCGGUGGAGUAACCUUUUAGGAGCUAGCCGUCGAAGGUGGGACAAAUGAUUGGGGUGAAGUCGUAACAAGGUAGCCGUAUCGGAAGGUGCGGCUGGAUCACCUCCUUUCU
rnacentral:rRNA from 1 species